GCAGCCACAACAGAGAAGCCAGUGUGCAUGUAGACGGCGAACGAAGCGGUUGUUGCUGGUUGUUGCUAGUUGGCGCCUCACGUUACUGUUGCUCGGCAGGGCAACAACUUGUUGUGUUGGUUUCGAGUGUUUUUGCGUGUUCCCCGGCCGGGGGAAAACUCCAAAGAAAAGCAAACAUCUCACGAGUGCCACACGCACGCGGGAUGCUUUCGUAGUGACGGUGAUGCGAAAAUUCAAACGAAGAAGUAAACGAACCAAAAAAAAAACGCAGCGUAUUGUGCAAAAUCCACCCCAACCUCCCCCAGGAGACUGUAGAGGAUGGUGAACAAGAAGGGGGGAAAAGCGAGAGGGAGAGUGAAAAACAAACAUUUGCGGGAAGUUGGCGAAUGAGUUUCUCAGGUUAGCAUUGCAAUUUUCCACCCAAA